AGAAAACAUGUCAACAGAAUAAAAUAUUAACCAAUGACAGAAAAGAUCGGGAAAUCCCACCCCCAGCUUCAAGCCAAACACCGGGUCAGCCUUCUCUCCUCGGCCGGUGGAGAGAGCACCUCGCUCGGCUUGCGCUUAAUAAUUUUGUUGAGGUACUCUGUACCCUUGUAUGGGGCAAUAAAUGCACACCCUGAAUCAUGACCUUAAUAAAUGACUCAAUAUGUUUUAAUUUGGAUCGUUAUGAAAAAUGUGAAGCAGUGCGCUUCUGUGAGCGGCUUCUCUCCGAAGGACAAGCGGGCAGUAAACCGGACAUUGGUACUUUUAUCUGAGCCCCGGGUCAUUCCAAAGACAGACCCAGAUGCUGCGUUGAAGCAAGGAGAAAAGAAAACAUCUGAGCAUAUUUCAAGACAAAACUCAAGUGGGAAAUGUGGGUUGCUGCAGCUCAUACUGGUGGAACCACAUGACCGGGGAACCAAACCUGUGUGCAGUGCCCGCGAGUAGAAGCUCCUGCUUAUGAUACCGGCUCCGGUUGGCUUCAAGUGAGUCAGAACCAGAAAAGG